rnacentral:rRNA from 1 species
UUUAAUUCGAUGCAACGCGAAGAACCUUACCUGGUCUUGACAUCCACGGAAGUUUUCAGAGAUGAGAAUGAGCCUUCGGGAACCGUGAGACAGGUGCUGCAUGGCUGUCGUCAGCUCGUGUUGUGAAAUGUUGGGUUAAGUCCCGCAACGAGCGCAACCCUUAUCCUUUGUUGCCAGCGGUCCGGCCGGGAACUCAAAGGAGACUGCCAGUGAUAAACUGGAGGAAGGUGGGGAUGACGUCAAGUCAUCAUGGCCCUUACGACCAGGGCUACACACGUGCUACAAUGGCGCAUACAAAGAGAAGCGACCUCGCGAGAGCAAGCGGACCUCAUAAAGUGCGUCGUAGUCCGGAUUGGAGUCUGCAACUCGACUCCAUGAAGUCGGAAUCGCUAGUAAUCGUGGAUCAGAAUGCCA